UCUGACUUAUUUCACUUGGUUUAAUACCUUCCAGGUCCAUCCAUGUUGUCGCAAAUGUGAUAUCUGGAAGCCAUGUCAGAAAAAUACCAAAAAUAGAGGAAGAACAAGAAGAUUUACUUGAUUAAAAAAGUGGCUGAAAGACAAGUUCAGAGAGGGAUUCAGGAACAUGAGAGAAUUUGAAAAAUAUGAUCCAGAAAAAAUAGGCAAGGGUGGACACUUCAGAUGAAAUUGUUGGCUACCAGGGCUCCUGCCUCUCCAAAAUGAUUGUAACAGUCUAUUAACCAGCAAUGUAGAAAAGUUUCCUCUGCCUCUAUCUUUGCUUUAUGAGCUUGCUGAAGCUGCUAUAACUGAAUAGCCGACUGGCCUAAACAACAGAAAUUUACUUUCUCGUAUUUCUGGAGACUAGAAGAUCAAGAUCAAAGUGUUGAUUGCAGCAGGCCCUCGGAGCUGGUCCACCUGCCUCCAGUCUGCCCACCUCUUCCUGGACCGGCACACAGUGCUAUGUAGAUGAGCCUUCUAAACUGCAAAUGUCAUCAUGUCACUUUCCCGUGUACCACCUGUCGUUCCCCCGACUUAAGAUUAAAGUAAAAUCCUUCUGGUUUUGCAUGCCAGGUCUUGCA